UACGUAGGGUGCAAGCGUUAAUCGGAAUUACUGGGCGUAAAGCGUGCGCAGGCGGUUUGGUAAGACAGAUGUGAAAUCCCCGGGCUCAACCUGGGAAUUGCAUUUGUGACUGCCCGACUAGAGUGUGUCAGAGGGGGGUAGAAUUCCACGGUGUAGCAGUGAAAUGCGUAGAGAUGUGGAGGAAUACCGAUGGCGAAGGCAGCCCCCUGGGAUAACACUGACGCUCAUGCACGAAAGCGUGGGGAGCAAACAGG
rnacentral:rRNA from 1 species